rnacentral:rRNA from 1 species
GAUGAACGCUGGCGGCGUGCCUAAUACAUGCAAGUCGAGCGAACAGAUGAGGAGCUUGCUCCACUGACGUUAGCGGCGGACGGGUGAGUAACACGUGGAUAACCUACCUAUAAGACUGGGAUAACUUCGGGAAACCGGAGCUAAUACCGGAUAAUAUAUUGAACCGCAUGGUUCAAUAGUGAAAGACGGUUUUGCUGUCACUUAUAGAUGGAUCCGCGCCGCAUUAGCUAGUUGGUAAGGUAACGGCUUACCAAGGCAACGAUGCGUAGCCGACCUGAGAGGGUGAUCGGCCACACUGGAACUGAGGCACGGUCCAGACUCCUACGGGAGGCAGCAGUAGGGAAUCUUCCGCAAUGGGCGAAAGCCUGACGGAGCAACGCCGCGUGAGUGAUGAAGGUCUUCGGAUCGUAAAACUCUGUUAUUAGGGAAGAACAAAUGUGUAAGUAACUAUGCACGUCUUGACGGUACCUAAUCAGAAAGCCACGGCUAACUACGUG